GCCUGUUUGUUACCUUAAUCGGGUAUGGUAAGAAUCUGAGAAAACAUUACAUUAACUCCGAUAUGUUUGCGUAAAUUUUCGAUUUGUGUGUGCACAUGAACGUAGGAAAGUCGGCUUUAAAUUUUGACAUUUUAAAACUGCAUAUGCGGAAGUUCACCAGACGCAGUGACCUGGAUGUUGUUUGUAUAUCUUUAUGCAGGGGAAAAGGAUCAAGUACAGUUAAACCAGCAUGAUUUAGUCUGAGGCACUGUGGUUUUAAUCGAUGUUUAAAGAUGGUAGGGAAACACUCAGGAGCUGAGGGGAGUGCUUCGGAGGAAUCGGUGCUGGGCGCUUCAUAUGUCCCGAUUCAGAAUGCUGCUCCCCGACUCGCCUUCAACCUUCCCAAGUUAUCCCAAGUCACUCCUCUGCUGAGUUCACUCCACUGGCUACCGGUCACUGCCAGGACCAGGUUCAAAGUCUGACCCUCACCUACCCUGCAGCCAACAGGACGGCCCCCGGCUACUUACAGGACAUGAUUCAAUCCUACACGCCAGCUCGACCACUCCGCUCUGUGGCAACAGGGCCACUUGCACCCCUGCCAUUCGAAUGAAUCUGGGAUCAUUUUUAUCACUUAAAUCCCCCUCUUUCAUGCUACACAUGUACCUCCUGUGCCAAUUUCAUGUUACAUGUACCUCCAUCCAGCACUUAUACUGUACUUUGUAUCAUUAUCUUGAUGUUGUAGCUUGUCAUGCCUCCUAGUUUUACUUAGCAUAGGUUAGGUUAGAGUAAUGUUUAAUGUGUGUACUGAACUUAAUGUGUUCAUGGCUAUGAAUAACUGUUACAAAAUGAGUACUGUACCUUAUUGGACCUGUGUUUUGUAGUUGUUCCAAUGACCUUUGGUAUGCACUUAUUGUACAUCACUGGAUAAAAAUGUCUGCUGAAUAUAUGUAAUACAAUGUAAUGUCAGGAGUUUGCCUCCCUCUGCUGGACAGAAAACGGCAUUACAGCAGAGGAAGUCCAAUUUAAAAAAUGUUGCAAUGUACAAGUCUAUUUUUUGUAUGGUUAUCAAAAUGUAUGUGGAUUUUAAUGCUGCUCACAAGGUGCCCUCUGGGGAUAAUAAAGAUCUACUGAAACCGAAA